GUCGAUUUAGGGCCAGAUAGCACUGCAUUUUGCUUUGUGUUUGUGUUUCCCAAUAAGCAAUGUAGUUUUGUUUUGACUGUGUUGUAAUUUGGUUUAUUCUGAUUGAUUGGAUGUUCUGGUCCUGAGGCUUCAGUGUUUUAGUAGAACAGGUUUGUGAACUCAGCACCAGGACCAGCUGGAUGAGGGUCCUGAGGCUUCAGUGUGUUAGUAGAACAGGUUUGUGAACUCAGCCCCAGGACCAGCUGAAUGAGGGUCCUGAGGCUUCAGUGUUUUAGUAGAACAGGUUAGUGAACUCAGCCCCAGGACCAGCUGGAUGAGGGUCCUGAGGUUUCAGUGUGUUAGUAGAACAGGUCUGUGAACUCAGUCCCAGGACCAGCUGGAUGAGGGUCCUGAGGCUUCAGUGUGUUAGUAGAACAGGUUAGUGAACUCAGCCCCAGGACCAGCUGGAUGAGGGUCCUGAGGCUUCAGUGUUUUAGUAGAACAGGUUAGUGAACUCAGCCCCAGGACCAGCUGGAUGAGGGUCCUGAGGCUUCAGUGUGAUUAGUAGAACAGGUUAGUGAACUCAGCCCCAGGACCAGCUGGAUGAGGGUCCUGAGGCUUCAGUGUGUAGAACAGGUUUGUGAACUCAGCCCCAGGACCAGCUGGAUGAGGGUCCUGAGGCUUCAGUGUGUUAGUAGAACAGGUUUGUGAACUCAGCCCCAGGACCAGCUGGAUGAGGGUCCUGAGGCUUCAGUGUGUUAGUAGAACAGGUUUGUGAACUCAGCCCCAGGACCAGCUGGAUGAGGGGACUCUUUUCUUUGCUCAGCUCUUGGCAUUGCAGGGCUUGGUAAGGAUAUGAGAGGGGGGUCACUGUAUUUUAGAUUUUUCCAAAACUUAAUUGCUCUUUUUUGAGUUUUUAUUAUUAGUGGAUAUUGGCCUAAUUCUGCCCUGCAUUGUUUGUAGUUUUCCUCUGGACACGUAGGAGAAUCUUACAGAACUCUGCAUGCAGGGUUUCAAUGGGGUGUUUGUCCCAUUUGAUGAAAUAUUGUCUCUCUCUCUCUCGCUCUGUCUCUGUCUCUCUCUCUCUCUCUCUCUCUGUCUCUGUCUCUUUGUCUCUCGUUCUCUCUCUCUGUCUCUGUCUGUCUCUCUCUGUCUGUCUCUCUCUCUCUGUCUCUCGCUCUCUCUCUCUGUCUGUCUCUCUCUCUCUCUGUCUCUCGCUCUCUCUGUCUCUCUCUGUCUGUCUCUCUCUCUCUCUCUCUCUCUCUCUCUCUCUCUCUCUCUCUCUCUCUCUCU
rnacentral:lncRNA from 1 species